AUUGAACGCUGGCGGCAGGCCUAACACAUGCAAGUCGAGCGGUAGAGAGGUGCUUGCAUCUCUUGAGAGCGGCGGACGGGUGAGUAAUGCCUAGGAAUCUGCCUAGUGGUGGGGGAUAACGGUUCGGAAACGGACGCUAAUACCGCAUACGUCCUACGGGAGAAAGCGGGGGAUCUUCGGACCUCGCGCCAUUAGAUGAGCCUAGGUCGGAUUAGCUAGUUGGUGAGGUAAUGGCUCACCAAGGCGACGAUCCGUAACUGGUCUGAGAGGAUGAUCAGUCACACUGGAACUGAGACACGGUCCAGACUCCUACGGGAGGCAGCAGUGGGGAAUAUUGGACAAUGGGCGAAAGCCUGAUCCAGCCAUGCCGCGUGUGUGAAGAAGGUCUUCGGAUUGUAAAGCACUUUAAGUU
rnacentral:rRNA from 1 species